AAUACAUAUGCAUGAGCUUGUAGCCUACCCUGCAAUAACGUGGAAGAAGAGACUUUGCAGCACCUGGCGUUGCUAUUUUAGUAACGUAAAUGUAUUUCCAAAUGAUUGUUUGUAGCACGUAAUUUUUUCUCUGUAAAAAUUCUGUAGAAGGCUGAACAUUGCAAAAUGCACUUCUGAAGAUCUCAACAAACCAAUGGACUCAUCCUCCUCAGCUCGAUGACUAUAAUGUUGCUUUCUUGUUUUGUGCUCAUUAAUUCUGCUGAAUG